GACGAACGCUGGCGGCGUGCUUAACACAUGCAAGUCGAACGGAAAGGCCCUGCUUUUGUGGGGUGCUCGAGUGGCGAACGGGUGAGUAACACGUGAGUAACCUGCCCUUGACUUUGGGAUAACUUCAGGAAACUGGGGCUAAUACCGGAUAGGAGCUCCUGCUGCAUGGUGGGGGUUGGAAAGUUUCGGCGGUUGGGGAUGGACUCGCGGCUUAUCAGCUUGUUGGUGGGGUAGUGGCUUACCAAGGCUUUGACGGGUAGCCGGCCUGGGAGGGUGACCGGCCACAUUGGGACUGAGAGACGGCCCAGACUCGUACGGGAGGCAGCAGUGGGGAAUAUUGCACAAUGGGCGGAAGCCUGAUGCAGCAACGCCGCGUGCGGGAUGACGGCCUUCGGGGUGUAAACCGCUUUCGCCUGUGACGAAGCGUGAGUGACGGUAAUGGGUAAAGAAGCACCGGCUAACUACGUG
rnacentral:rRNA from 1 species